rnacentral:lncRNA from 1 species
GCAGGCCAGCCGCGAUUCCUUCGGGCGAUGCUGGGGGCUUUCCGGUCGGGGCCGCAGCCGCUUCCGGAGCCGCGGGCGAGGUGCGUUCCCCAGCCUGGUUUGCUCUGGGCUCUGACCCGCCGCCGCGAAUCUCCGCUCGUAACUCCGGGCCUGAACCUGGAGGAGGGAGGAUUUCCUCUGUGCAGCUUUCGAGCGGUAGACUCACCCUGCCAGGCAGACCUAGAUUGGCAUAACCAGAGAUCAGUUCCAGUUGUGAUGCAGUGGGUGUCUACACACUUCUGAUGACACCUUUAUUUUAAAAGCUGAUGUUCCAAGUCGAUUCACCAUGAUCUUGGCUGGCUGUCUUCUUCCUUCAUGGCUGCUAGUAAUGACAAUUCAGUGGCUGUUUCUUCAGCUGUGCAAAGUUGGAACAUGUUUGGGAGUUCAACGGCAUUGGUUUCUGGUUGGUGCAAGCGGUCUUCUCUGUCUUCUUUAUGGCCAGUAAAAUUCUCCAGAAGAGAUUUAUGGCAGCCUCACUCCCAGUAGUUUCUGCAUUUAGUGAGAUAAGCCACAGCAAUUGUCUGCUAUUUUAAAAGCACUGUGAUGCUUAAAUAUUCCAGCUGCUACAUCGGACAGGUGUCUGAUGAUCCUGAGAACAGUCAUCAAAAAGUAGAACUUGAGCCUGGAAUACAUUCUCUGGCAUAGCCAUAGUCAAUCACCAGUAUAAUUAAUGUAAAUGGACACUGGAUAGCUUUUUUGUGAAUUCUGAUGCAGCACAAAGAGACUUUAAUUGUUUCCAAAAAGAAAAUGUCUGAGAUUAAAAUCUAGAGUUUUAUGACUUAGAGGAAAUUUUAUAGCUUUACUCCAAAAAGGGUAAGGCACAAAAUAUUCUGUGCCAAAGGAUGCAUAUUUGGUAUUUUUCCUAUGAAUCCCUUAGUGUAAGUGGCAUGAUGAAAUUUUCUUGGUUUCAACACAGAUGAUGUGUUGAGGUAGUGUUGAGGCUGAGAGGUGGGUGGGAUGGGUCUUGGAGAAGGAAAAGAUUUGUUUUGCAAGGUUUGUGGAGAGCUGAUGCGGUAGUGAGGCUAAGACGAGGGGUAUUUACUUGCUACUUACAUUGAGUCCACUAACAUCUGCAGCACUUUGCUUGCAUUAUCCACGCAAUUAUCACGGGAAACCUAUAAAAUAAGUAUUCCUCUCCUCAUUUUACAAAUAGGGAAGCAGAUAAGAUUUAGAAAAUUUCCCAAACUCACACAAUUAUUAAAUGACAGAACUAGGACUCAAACCCAGGUUUUAUUAAUUUUAGAGACAUGUUUUUAACCACUUGGACACUGCCAACCAUGGAAUUGUUGGUAUGAAAAAAACGUACUCUUGAGUUAUAUUAUCCAUGGUCUUAAUAUCAGAGAAGUGCAGUUGAGUCGCUAUUAAAGAAUAUGGUAAAAUUAUAAAAUGGAUACUAUACAAAGGUAUAAAAAUAUUAUAAAUACUUAUGUUUGGGGUAAAAGGAUCAAAGUAGCCAUGCUCAGUGGAAGGGUAAGGAACUCUUAGCAGAGAUUGAUUAAUUGGGAGAUAAUUGAUUAAUUGGGAGUUGAUUGAUUAAUUGGGAUUUAUUAAUUUGGGAGUAGGUAGGAAGAUAGGAAGUUGUAUAAAAUAAGGGAGAGAUAACUUAGUACCUGGAAAAAAAGAAAUGGAAAUAGGUAGAAGCUAAGAGUUCAAUUAAAAAAAAGGAAUAAAAGAUAUUGGAAGGGAACGAUGAAUGUAGCAUGGAAGAUCCAAGAUGAUGGGAGUUCAGGGGCUAAUUACAGCUAUGGGGAAAAAGUAAUGUAUAAGCUGGAAGCCAGAGAUAAGAGCCAUGUAAAUGAAGAAGUUGGGCCCCAAUAGGAAAGAAUUAUAAGGACUAGAAGGAGCAGGAGCCAUGUGGAAAAAUAUCAUGUAGUACUUUUAAGCUUGAUCUGUCAUCUGUAGCAAAACCAGCAUGCUUGAGUACUGAAUUGACCUGACUGAACUAUGUUGAAAUGUACUGUGGUUUUAUAUCCAUAUGCACUUGGUCUGUGGAGUUGUGGGAAAAGCAUCAGUGAGUAGGAAGCCCAAGGAUUUGGGUCAAGUAUUAAAUAUGCUAUUUACUGUCUAGCUAUGUGACCUUAUAUAAGUCACUUGUGGUCUCUGAGCCUUCAUGUAUUCAUCCAUAAGAUGAGUUGUUGUUUAUAUUAAAUGGGAUGUGGUAUGUUAAAGAGCUGAAUGCAUAGUGAUACAGAAUUACUUUCUGUAAUACUAUUUUUUAAAUAUUUUAAAUGAAAAAUUAAUGAACUUAUAAAUUAAAAGAUUCAAAAGGGAUAAAAAGGUAUACAAUGAAAAGCAAUUCUCCUUCCCACCAGUAACUCUGUCCUACUCCUUAGGACAUUCACCAUAAACAGAUAUCCUGAAUUCUUCUAGAAAUAUUAUAUAUAAAAUCUUAUAUUUCUUAUGUUUCUUUUUUACUAUUUUAAAGGGGAUAAACUAAACUUUGCUUUUUUUCAUAUAAUAAUAUAUUCUGGAGAUCAUUUUCUAAAAGCACAUGUAAACAUACCUCAUUAUUAUAAAGGUUUGAAAAUAUCAAUUUAUUUGACCUGUCCCCUCUCGAUAGAUAAUUAGAUUGUAUCCAUCCCUUUGGUUAUUACCAACAGACACUAAUCACUUAUCAUGUACAUAUAGCCUGUUUUUUAGCAUUGUUAGACAAAGUAGGCAUAUUCCUUUCCAUCCAAGAACUCAUAACCUAGUAAUUGUAGUUGGCUGAUAGCUCAUUGCCCAUACACAAGGAUCUAACACAACCUCUUGAAUAAACAUCCCCCUUAUUCAGAAAUGCCUUUUCCUAUUUCCAUAUUGCAACUUUGCUUACAAAUUUCCAAUCUGUCUUUCUGUUUACAGAAGAUAUACAAAAUUCCUUUUGUAUGAUCUCUUUAUAUCUCUUGAUUUUCUUUUGUGUUUGCUACCAAAGGGCCUGCACAUAGUGAGAAGAUUGUGCAUGAUCUGUGAGCUCUACCACACCUGGAAUUAGGGAUCACCAAUAUGAGAAAAAAAAUUGGAGGUACAAAUAACAUUAUCAUAUGUAAUUGGCAUAUAAAUUACAGAUGUAUCUAUGACUAAAAACCCUGUGGAUAUAAACCAAAUGCAGAUAAAUAUAAUAAAAUAUAUAAAAAUAUAAUCAAAUAAUGAUAGUGCUAUUCAAAUACUUCAAAUUUGCACAGUGAUUUAUUUCUUAAAAUAUGUUAACACAUGUGAGCCAAUACACUGAGGUCACUGGAU